AUGGUAGGGUAAGGGCCUACCAUGGCUGCGAUCAGUAGAAGGGUCUGAGAGGAUGAACGGCCACAUUGGGACUGAGACACGGCCCAGACUCCUAUGGGAGGCAGCACUGCGGAAUAGAAGCAAUGGGCGGAAGCGUAGCCCAGCAAAGCAGCGCGAAGGAAUAAGGCAUUCGGGUUGUAAACUUCUUUUAUUAGGGAGGAAGGAUGUGACGGUACAUAAUGAAUAAACCACGGCUAAAUCCGUGCCAGCACACGCGGUAAUAUGUAGGUGGCAAGCGUUUUCUCGAUAUAUUGGGUGUAAAGGGCGUGUAGGCGGGAAUGCAAGUCAGAUGUGAAAUCCACGGGCUCAACCCCUGAACUGCAUUUGAAACUGUGUUUCUUGAGUGACGGAGAGGCAGGCGGAAUUUCUAGUGUAACGGUGAAAUGGGUAGAUAUUUGGAGGAACCCCAGUGGCGAAGGCGGCCUGCUGGACAUCAACUGACGAUGAAGCUCGAAAACGCGGGGAGCAAACAAGAUUAGAAACCCCCGUAGUUCCCCCCGUAAAAGAUGAAUCAUAGGUUUUGGGGGACU
rnacentral:rRNA from 1 species